AUGCCACACAGGUAUGGACAUUUGCUAAGGUCGAUUACCUUUCUUCUGCCUUACAAGAGUGAAGGGAAGGCAUAUGAAUGUGAUCCCAACACAGUGAAAGAUCUGAUAAGUCGAACCAGAUGUGGUUUAUGUCUUUUCUUUGAGUGGGUUCAAAGAGAUAAGGAGAUGUUUUGUUGGAUAAUUAAUAUAUCGAAAAAUAAUUCUACUCAGUUACUUGUAAAUCCAGCAUUUGUAUCAGAAAUGUCAGAAGUGAAAGUUAAGCGUGCAGCUUGUGCUUUCUCAUUAAACUUCUGUAGUGAUAAAAAAUGGGCUGGUGUAAAGAAUGCUUUGGAGAUGGUGUUUUCUUCACCUCAACACAAGACAUCUGAAGCUCCUGAUAAUAUGUAUGUCUUCACAAGGAUAGAUGAUUGUGUCUACUUCAGAAAUAUAAAGAUUAAUGAUUUCCCCAAUAUUGCCGAAGGCGAGCCAUUGGAUCUGAAAGAGGUUGGACCUUAUUUUUGCCUGAAGCUUGUGGAUAUUCAUGGAGAGACUGCUGUCACAUAUCUACCUUCAGAUGUUGUUCCACAAAAUAAGAUUAAAGUGUGUCCCAUUCAAUAUUGUAGUUUGUCACCUGAAUUGGGAUCUUGCAUAGCAUCUCAUUCCCUCUACUUGAAUGGCGAAAACUAUACGAUCCUUAUGGAGAAUGGUCAUGAUUUGUCAGCAUUUGAGGGUUAUAAUGUUAGCCUUGAGGAGUUUCUUGCAGAGCAACCAUUAUUGAAAAUAAAACAUAUUGUUGGAUAA
rnacentral:rRNA from 1 species